rfam:Chryseobacterium koreense CCTG 49689 contig12, whole genome shotgun sequence.
GGCCCGAUAGUUCAACUGGAUAGAAUAUCAGAUUUCGGCUCUGAGGGUUGAGGGUUCGAAUCCUUCUCGGGUCA